rnacentral:rRNA from 1 species
GAUGAACGCUGGCGGCGUGCCUAAUACAUGCAAGUCGAGCGAACGGACGAGAAGCUUGCUUUUCUGAUGUUAGCGGCGGACGGGUGAGUAACACGUGGAUAACCUACCUAUAAGACUGGGAUAACUUCGGGAAACCGGAGCUAAUACCGGAUAAUAUUUUGAACCGCAUGGUUCAAAAGUGAAAGACGGUCUUGCUGUCACUUAUAGAUGGAUCCGCGCUGCAUUAGCUAGUUGGUAAGGUAACGGCUUACCAAGGCAACGAUGCAUAGCCGACCUGAGAGGGUGAUCGGCCACACUGGAGCUGAGACACGGUCCAGACUCCUACGGGAGGCAGCAGUAGGGAAUCUUCCGCAGUAGGCGAGAGCCUGACGGAGCGACGCCGCGUGAGUGAUGGAGGUCUUCGGAUCGUAAAACUCUGUUAUUAGGGAAGAGCAUAUGUGUAAGUAACUGUGCACAGCUUGACGGUACCUAAUCAGAAAGCCACGGCUAACUACGUG